rnacentral:lncRNA from 1 species
AAAAAUACUACAAAAUAAAAAUACAAAAGAACAUAUACAUUCAACUUAUUUCAUCAACAAAAAAUAGUUUCCCCUCCUCUACAAAACAAAGCGCUCCUUCGUAUGCCCACUUCUCCUCAAACAAUGGGAGACCUUUUACAGCUGAGAAGAACUCAAAAUCCACUUUUAUUCUUACUUUCACUAAUCCUUUAAAAACACAUCUUACCUCCUGCCCAUAUCCCGUUUCUAUCUUAUAUUUCCUACUCAGAAAAAUUGACAUCUUAGCUUGUCCCCCCCAAAAAUUAAACAGUUGACAUUUUAUUUUCUGUUGCUUACUAUAUUGAAACCCCAAAAUAAAAACAGUGUUAUUGAAAAUCUCCCCUACAGCUUUAAACAAAGACUCCAGCAUUACCAGAAGGUGACUGUUGACCCAGGGUUUAGAGUGUUCCCUCAACAGUAUAAGGUGACUGUUGACCCAGGGUUUAGAGUGUUCCCUCAGCAGUAGAAGGUGACUGUUGACCCAGGGUUUAGAGUAUUCCCUCAGCAGUAGAAGGUGACUGUUGACCCAGGGUUUAGAGUAUUGCCUCUCAUACACUACGGCUUUUUUUUAAUGUCUCUUGCCCCAUUUACGUUUAAAGAAGAAAUCUUAAAACUGCUCAUGGGUGUUUAAAAAAUACAGAGGAAGACCCAGAAACCACAUCUCUUUACAGAGUUAAAACUGCGACUGAACUCUUUCAUUUUCUUUUGAAUUUACAUCACUUAUCACUCUCGCGACCACUUUCUUGAGUCUAGCAAUUUCAGGGCUUGUCAAACCUCCACCUGUUAUUUUUGACAUCAUAAACUUUGCUGAAUCAAUAAACAAUUCGCUUUCAGGGAAAAAAUCUGUUACAUUGUAAUCCUGCAUAUAUUUCUUCCCUUUUGUCAACUUCAGAAAUUGACGUACCUUCUCAAUCCCAUACCUCCCUUCCACCCCAUUUAUCUCACUAUUUUGUUGUGACGCGUCAGAUGACUCACUCUCGC